rnacentral:rRNA from 1 species
UACGGAGGGGGCUAGCGUUGUUCGGAAUUACUGGGCGUAAAGCGCGCGUAGGCGGCUUUGUAAGUUAGAGGUGAAAGCCCGGAGCUCAACUCCGGAACCGCCUUUAAGACUGCAUCGCUAGAAUUGUGGAGAGGUGAGUGGAAUUCCGAGUGUAGAGGUGAAAUUCGUAGAUAUUCGGAAGAACACCAGUGGCGAAGGCGACUCACUGGACACAUAUUGACGCUGAGGUGGCGAAAAGCGUGGGGAGCAAACAGG